CGUGGGGAACCUGCCCCAUAGUCUGGGAUACCACUUGGAAACAGGUGCUAAUACCGGAUAAGAAAGCGGAUCGCAUGAUCAGCUUUUAAAAGGCGGCGUAAGCUGUCGCUAUGGGAUGGCCCCGCGGUGCAUUAGCUAGUUGGUAAGGUAAAGGCUUACCAAGGCGAUGAUGCAUAGCCGAGUUGAGAGACUGAUCGGCCACAUUGGGACUGAGACACGGUCCAAACUCCUACGGAGGCAGCAGUU
rnacentral:rRNA from 1 species